CAUAGUCCAAGACAAAUAUCUGCUUUUGCUGUGACAACAAAAUAAUUUUGGAAUUAGCAUACACAUUUACAUUUGCAUGCACAAAUAUUUAUAAAAUUCAAGUAUAACUAAGGUGUGCUACAUGAAUAUUAAAUAAAAGAGAAUGAUGAGUUUAGUAGCAUUCAUGUCUAUAUAUUCUUCCUAUUUUAUACAUUAAAAUAGAAAAAGAUAUGUA
rnacentral:lncRNA from 1 species